rnacentral:rRNA from 1 species
CCCAAACUGGGAUUAGAUACCCCACUAUGCUUAGCCCUAAACCUAGAUAGUUAGCUCAAACAAAACUAUCCGCCAGAGAACUACUAGCAACAGCUUAAAACUCAAAGGACUUGGCGGUGCUUUAUAUCCCUCUAGAGGAGCCUGUUCUAUAAUCGAUAAACCCCGAUAAACCUCACCAUCUCUUGCUAAUUCAGCCUAUAUACCGCCAUCUU